UACGUAGGUGACAAGCGUUGUCCGGAUUUACUGGGCGUAAAGAGCGCGCAGGCGGUCGAUCAAGUCGAGUGUGAAAGCCCCGGGCUCAACCCGGGAAGUGCACUUGAAACUGGGAGGCUAGAGUAUCGGAGAGGUUGGUGGAAUUCUCGGUGUAGAGGUGAAAUUCGUAGAUAUCGAGAGGAACACCGGUGGCGAAGGCGGCCAACUGGACGAAUACUGACGCUGAGACUCGAAAGCGUGGGGAGCAAACAGG
rnacentral:rRNA from 1 species